rnacentral:pre_miRNA from 1 species
CAACUACUCCCUCUGUCCCAAAUUUCUUGUCUUAGAUUUGUCUAGAUAAGGAUGUAUCUAAUACUAAAAUGUGACUUGAUACAUCCGUAUCUAGACAAAUCUAAGACAAGAAUUUUGGGACGGAGGGAGUACUUU